GUGCCUAACACAUGCAAGUCGCGCGCGAAUGGAGCAAUCCUAGUAGAGCGGCGAACGGGUGCGUAACACGUGGGUAAUCUGCCCGAGAGCCCGGAAUAACCUGCCGAAAGGCAAGCUAAUACCGGAUAAGCUCACGAGGUCCUCGGACCUCGAGAGAAAAGGUGGCCUCUGUACACAAGCUACCGCUUUUGGAUGAGCCCGCGGCCCAUCAGCUUGUUGGCGGGGUAAUGGCCCACCAAGGCUACGACGGGUAGCUGGUCUGAGAGGACGAUCAGCCACACUGGAACUGAGACACGGUCCAG
rnacentral:rRNA from 1 species